ACGCAGCGAAAUGCGAUACCUAGUGUGAAUUGCAGAAUUCCGCGAAUCAUCGAGUUUUUGAACGCAAGUUGCGCCCGAGGCUCGUACCGAGGGCAUGUCUGUCUGAGCGUCCU
rnacentral:rRNA from 1 species